GGGAGCAUGGUUUAGUGGUAUAACAUCUCAUUUGCAACCCCUAAAUGGGACUGGAAAUUUGAGAAGGUCUGGGGUUCGAUUCCCCAUGCUUCCA